rnacentral:rRNA from 1 species
CCAAACUGUUGCCUCGGCGGGGUCACGCCCCGGGUGCGUCGCAGCCCCGGAACCAGGCGCCCGCCGGAGGGACCAACCAAACUCUUUUCUGUAGUCCCCUCGCGGACGUUAUUUCUUACAGCUCUGAGCAAAAAUUCAAAAUGAAUCAAAACUUUCAACAACGGAUCUCUUGGUUCUGGCAUCGAUGAAGAACGCAGCGAAAUGCGAUAAGUAAUGUGAAUUGCAGAAUUCAGUGAAUCAUCGAAUCUUUGAACGCACAUUGCGCCCGCCAGUAUUCUGGCGGGCAUGCCUGUCCGAGCGUCAUUUCAACCCUCGAACCCCUCCGGGGGGUCGGCGUUGGGGACCUCGGGAGCCCCUAAGACGGGAUCCCGGCCCCGAAAUACAGUGGCGGUCUCGCCGCAGCCUCUCCUGCGCAGUAGUUUGCACAACUCGCACCGGGAGCGCGGCGCGUCCACGUCCGUAAAACACCCAACUUCUGAAAUGUUGACCUCGGAUCAGGUAGGAAUACCCGCUGAACUUAAGCAUAUCAAUAAGCGGAGGAAUAA